AUACGGAAGGUCCGGGCGUUAUCCGGAUUUAUUGGGUUUAAAGGGAGCGCAGGCGGAGAUGCAAGCGUGACGUCAAAUUUCGGGGCUCAACCCCGUCUCGCGUCGCGAACUGCGUCCCUUGGUUGCGGGAAGGGGAGGCGGAACUCGUGGUGUAGCGGUGAAAUGCAUAGAUAUCACGAAGAACUCCGAUCGCGAAGGCAGCCUUCCGGCCCGUCAACGACGCUCAUGCUCGAAGGUGCGGGUAUCAAACAGGAUUAGAUACCCUGGUAGGCCGCACAGUAAACGAUGGACACCCGCGGUUUGGCCUGUAUGGCUGAGCCGCCAAGCGAAAGCGUUAAGUGUCCCACCUGGGGAGUACGCCGGCAACGGUGAAACUCAAAUGAAUUGACGGGG
rnacentral:rRNA from 1 species